UACGUAGGGUGCAAGCGUUAUCCGGAAUUACUGGGCGUAAAGCGUUCGUAGGCGGCUUUAUAAGUUUGUGGUUAAAUCCGGUGGCUUAACCAUCGAAUCGCUACAAAAACUAUUUAGCUAGAGAAUGACAGGGGCAACUGGAAUUCUGCAUGUAGGGGUAAUAUCCGUUGAUAUGCAGAGGAACACCAAAAGCGAAGGCAGGUUGCUGGGUCAUUUCUGACGCUGAGGAACGAAAGCGUGGGGAGCAAACAGG
rnacentral:rRNA from 1 species